rnacentral:rRNA from 1 species
CAGAGACUGCAAGCGUUAUUCGGAUUCACUGGGCGUAAAGGGUGCGCAGGCGGCCAAGUGUGUGAGGCGUGAAAGCCCGGGGCUUAACCCCGGAAUUGCACCUCAAACUACAUGGCUAGAGCAUUGGAGAGGGUAGCGGAAUUCACGGUGUAGCAGUGAAAUGCGUAGAUAUCGUGAGGAACACCAGAGGCGAAGGCGGCUACCUGGACAAUUGCUGACGCUCAGGCACGAAAGCGUGGGGAGCAAAAGGGAUUAGAUACCCCUGUAGUCCACGCCCUAAACGGUGCACACUAGGUCUUGGCGGAUUCGACCCCACCAGGGCCCAAGCUAACGCGUUAAGUGUGCCGCCUGAGGACUACGGCCGCAAGGCUA